rnacentral:rRNA from 1 species
GGCCAGCAGCCGCGGUAAUACGUAGGUGGCAAGCGUUGUCCGGAAUUACUGGGCGUAAAGGGCGUGUAGGCGGCCUUUUAAGUCAGGCGUGAAAUCCAUGGGCUUAACCCAUGAAUUGCGUUUGAAACUGGAGGGCUUGAGGAUCGGAGAGGGCAGUGGAAUUCCCAGUGUAGCGGUGAAAUGCGUAGAUAUUGGGAGGAACACCAGUGGCGAAGGCGACUGCCUGGACGACACCUGACGCUGAGGCGCGAAAGCUAGGGGAGCAAACGGGAUUAGAUACCCCGGUAGUCCUAGCCGUAAACGAUGGGUACUAGGUGUGGGAGGUAUCGACCCCUUCCGUGCCGCAGUUAACACAAUAAGUACCCCGCCUGGGGAGUACGGCCGCAAGGUUGAAACUUAAAGGAAUUGGCGGGGGA